rnacentral:rRNA from 1 species
UACGAAGGGGGCUAGCGUUGCUCGGAAUCACUGGGCGUAAAGGGUGCGUAGGCGGGUCUUUAAGUCAGGGGUGAAAUCCUGGAGCUCAACUCCAGAACUGCCUUUGAUACUGAAGAUCUUGAGUCCGGGAGAGGUGAGUGGAACUGCGAGUGUAGAGGUGAAAUUCGUAGAUAUUCGCAAGAACACCAGUGGCGAAGGCGGCUCACUGGCCCGGUACUGACGCUGAAGCACGAAAGCGUGGGGAGCAAACAGG